UACGUAGGGGGCAAGCGUUGUCCGGAUUUAUUGGGCGUAAAGAGCGUGUAGGCGGUUUGGUAGGUCCGCUGUGAAAACUCGAGGCUCAACCUCGAGACGCCGGUGGAAACCAUCAGGCUAGAGUCCGGAAGAGGAGAGUGGAAUUCCUGGUGUAGCGGUGAAAUGCGCAGAUAUCAGGAAGAACACCCGUGGCUAAGGCGGCUCUCUAGUAGCGGUACUGACGCUGAGACGCGAAAGCGUGGGUAGCAAACAGG
rnacentral:rRNA from 1 species